rnacentral:lncRNA from 1 species
AGGAGGUUGGAGUGAGUGAACAGGUCCUCCCCUUCCUUUGUGAAAGGUGUCGCAAGGGGCCAACAGAAGCCUCACUGACUGGGACAAAUACCAAGUUUAUUUCACAAACACUAGGAAGAUGGGCUGGAUGGGGGUUGAGGGGGGCACAGGUGCACAGCUGUACACAGUCACCAUCAGCAGCCCACUCCCCACACUGGGGUUCAGUCUGGACUGCAAUGCCUCCAGAGUCAACAGGCAGCAAGAGGUGAGUGCAGGGGAGACCCUGAACACCAAGCCCCAGAAAGGCUGAGGGACACAGCUCCAGCUGUCCCAGGAAAACCAGCAAUAAAUAACAGUAGGGCACGGCCCCACCCAUACAGGUCAUCUAGUCACCCAUCUUCACUCUGGAGGUCUGCAAAGGAAAAACAGGACAAAUCAGGCAGGGACAGUGACCAGUGACAAGACCAGAACCAGCAGGCCAGUGGGUGGACAGACGGACAGACACACUAUGACAGACAAACAGACAUGGACAGUAACAAAGGAGCUCAGCUGUACAACAGAGAAGACAAGUCCCAUGGACAGUGUUAGUGUCGCCAAGAGUCAGCCCAGUCAAGCACCCAAGUCACAAACUCACACACUGGAAAAUAUGAAUUUAGACAUGCUAGUCUACUGACAAGUGUGUCAUACAUACAGAACACAGACCCUGAGAGACAGAAACUCCACAAAGACAUUUUCAGAGGCAGCCGAGGAAAGAGAUGCUAAUGGAGAGACUUAGGAAAGAUGCGUGCAUCUAGAGCAGGAGACAAAGGGGGACCAAGAGAUGGGAAGGGGAAAAAAGGGAGGCACUUCUGUUCCUCUCUAGGGGGACUCGCACCUGAAGGAUUGCAACAAUGACCCCAAAGAGGCCAAUGGCACUGCCAAAGAUCUCCACGAUGAGAAUUUUUACAAAGAGGCUGGGGUUCUGUGCAUCCGCCAGGGCGGCCCCACUGCCCACGAUGCCCACGCAGACUCCACAGAACAGGUUGGACAGACCGACUGUGAGGCCAGCCCCAAACAUGGAGUAACCUGGAGGAUAAGAAGUAGCUCGUGAGGUGGAGGCAAGCAGGAGAGGAAUGGUCCAGUGUGGGCUAGCAGGGCCAGUCCCACCCCAACUCUGCAGAGCUGAGACUCUCAGCUAUGGAGCCAGGAAGCAGGAGGAAAGCAUAGGCAUUUCAAUGGAUACCCGUCCCCGCUGGUUUUCCCUUACCUCAGCCAUGUUGCUGAUGACAAUUGCCAUGAUGAUGCCAUAGAUGGCCACCGCUUCACAGAAGAUAAUACUGGCAACAGUGAUGGUCCGUGUGUCUGAAGAGCUGGGCUGGGGCUCAGACCAAAGCAGGGAGAAGAGGCUCCUAGGAGAAUCCUCUCCAUGCCCUCCCUUACCAUGCCACAUCAAAGCGAAAGCCCAGGUCAAAGAUGGUGUAGCAGAUUCCUGAAGCAAUGAGGAAAGGAGUUAAAGGGUUGCUCUUUCGAGACACAGUCCCCAACCUAGGAAAAAAAAAAAACUGCCCAACUGUCAAACUGUCAGCCACCUACAUCUAGACAAGCGAAGAGUCCCGGAGCGAAACAGCACCUCCACCCAGGCCUCCAUUUUUUUUUUUUUUUCGGCCACUCCCUAGGUAACCCGUCUUAAUGACACCAAGCCCCUUCACGGGCCGGAGGGAACGGGCGCUGCGUCCAGGCCGCGCCAGAUCCUGCCGGCCCAAUCGCUGUUUACCCAACAAGCUGUGAAUGGGUGGGGGAGGGCAAGGAGGAAAAAGGGGAAGCGGGGCGCCCAAAUAUGCGGCUCGCGGAGAGGAGGUCAGGAACCUGGCGUCGCGACCCUGGAAUAGCCGGUGUGACUCUCGCAGCCCAGGGCCGGCCUCCUCCGUCGCGGGAGGGCACCGCGCGGGGCCGGCUCCGGCUGCCACCUGCCCCCCGCCCCAACCAGCAGGCCACCUUGGGCCGCCUGGGCCCCGCUCACCCACAACGACCAUGCAGGCCCAGAAGGCCACAAAGAUCCCGAGGUAGAGCAACUCCAGCCCCGUCAUGGCAGCGGCGACGGCAGGGGUCGGAUCGGUGGGACCUGAGCUAAACCGCGUCCACCGUCCGCCCCGCAGUCUGUCGGCCCGCCCCGCAGCGCCACCUGACCGGCGCACGUGAUGCGCCGACCCCACGUGACCCCCGCGCACAGUGGCUGGCUGCCUGAGGCCGGGCCCUGGUAGACGUCAUGCCGCGGAGCACUGUGGUGGUUGUAGUUUCGUCGGACGUUCUCCGUGACAGGUACUGGCUCUCCACCUGCGCUGCUGGUUCCCUAACUUCCCACCGGACUCCCAGUUUACUCACCAAUCACUGCAGAUCCUUCCGGUCUGUUCUAGUCCUGCCUAGUUCCUUCUGCUUGAAGCAGGAUUUCGCGGUGCCUAGCUAAUGCCUGCUGUUCAUCGGAGGUCAUUCUAGGUUGUCUUUUCCAACCCAGAGGUAGGGUGGAAUGCCAGACGCGAACGCCCACGAUGUCCAGGGGGCCGAAGCACCAUGGUUCAUGUUGGACUCACUACUGUUUCUAGCGCCUGACAUACAGGGGAGUUCUCAUAACAUGCACACAGAAUACAUGAUGGAUGCUCAUUUUAACCCAGUCCCCAUGUCAGUUACAGCUCUGCCUUUACCAUUAGCCUGUGUACUACAUGAUCUGGAUGGUGCCAAUAUAAGAUUCUUUUGCUAAUGUGGACAAUAAGUAAAUUUUGUUUUCUUCUGGGAUCCAAUACACAAACACACACACACACUGGGAAACCCUAGGACCAACUCUCUGGUUUUUGUUUUGUUUUUUGAGACAGGAUUUCUCUGUAUAGCCCUAGCUGUCCUGGAACUCACUUUGUAGACCAGGUUGGCCUCGAACUCAGAAAUGUGCCUGCCUCUGCCUCCCAAGUGCUGAGAUUAAAGGCGUGCACCACCACUGCCCGGCCCAUAAAACCAACUCUCUACCAAGGACAAGCACUCUAUCAAGAUAUACCCCAACAACUCUACUUUGAUUGAAGCACCCACCAUGUUGACUGAGUCUUUGUUUAGGCCCAAAUGUUCGUUUCACUCUGUUUAUUCUGAAUAUUUUUUCUCUAUAAGAUCCAGCUUAAGACUCCUCUGUCUGGGUUGCCUCUUGAGUCCCCUUCAGGAGCCUGCUAUGAGAGCCAGCUGCACCUGGGGCUCCCUUCACACAAUUAUAUUUCGUGGGGUUAUUAUUUCCUCCCAAGCACAUUUUGAGGACAGUAAUCUGGUUAAAUAUAACUCACAUAUCCACCCACAGGAUCUGUGUAGAACAGAGCUUUAGUGAAUAAAGAGAAACAGGAGAAAAAGUAUUCCGUUUAUUUCAGUGUCUUUGUUGUCCCCAAGAAACAAGUCUAACUAAGUCAAUGUAGCCCAACAAAGUCCUGAAAGCAGCCACAUAAGUGCUUGAAAUGUAAUUAGUGUAAUGGACAAAUACUUUUUCAUCCACUUUAAAUGGCAAAAGUCAUGUGUCCAGUGAAUAUUGUCUUGGACAGUGCAGGUUUAGACCAGAGGCUCUCAAUGAGGAGUAGUUACAUGACAUCUGCCAACCUGUAGAGAUAAUCUGGGUUAUCCUAGCUCAGUUGGGGAGGAAGGGAGGUGUUUCUGUUUCUGUCAGCUGAACCUAUACAUCCUUCUCUAUAUAGAGUAGCCUCUGCAUUAAAGAAUUACUCUGCCCAAACUGUCAACAGUGCUGAGGGAGGUGGAAGAACUCUGGUCUGGAUCAUCCAACUUCUGCCCCUGACCAAGGGCAGAACUCCUGCACACCAGGAACUGGGAUGAGCCCUGGGACCCCUCCCUGCACAGGCUAUAAGCUGGACAGCUCCACAGAGAGAGCUACCUACACUCCCUGUGUCUAGGCAUCAAGUGUCCCUGUGACAGGACGAGACGUUGGUCAGGGAGAACAGGUCCCGGCAGACUUAUCACUCUGGCUCUGGCCUCCCAAGGUAUCAGCUGCUCCCCUCAUCCUCGUAGGCGAUGGCGAUACCUCGUCUUCCUCUGACGGCUUCUUUCACUGGUGUCUGGCCCAAGCGUGGCUCCAGCCCCUGCCAGUUCCGAGAACUAAGGA